AUCAUGUCCUCCCAGCGCCUGCACAGACCAGUAACUUUACAGCCAUGCUCUUCGCUCUGGCGAUUGCCGGCGCUGCAUUCUUGCUCCUGCUCAAGCUUGUCUCCCGCAUUGUCGUGAACCUCACCAGCCUGCUGCUUGGUCAUUGCACCUAGUACCUCGCCGAAGGGAGAGCUAACGAUGCGGGUACAGUCGUGGAAGCCAUACAUCAGCGGUACCCUCAGGAGUCGACACUCACCGGCAGCCGAGUACAGAGUGGGCAGCCAGUCGAUCAAGUGCACGGGUCGUGACAUAACCACGCGGGAACCGGGCUCGAGCAGCGGGCUCCACACCAGCGCCGGUACACGGACUCCUCCUUCCCACAGCGUGCCCUUGACGCCUCGCAGCGGCCAGUUGGAGCCAGUGUUCGAGAACGUUCCCCACGGGCCUCGACGAUGCGGCCGACGGACUCGUCCAAUGCGUCCACCGCGCCUGGUGAGAGCCAGCCGUAACAUGCUAGGUUUAGCUUGACGUACUCGUAAUGUGACCAAAGGAGGUUAUUGCAGCCGCUAGGGUAAGCAUCAAACGUAAACUGAAACGGAUUCGUCAUCUACAACAACUGUAAAGGACACCAAGAAAAGACAGCCGUAUUUGUUCGAAUAAAGGUCGACGUUGUUUCUUUGUU